GUACCUUUCUUGGCUGAUCCCUUUCGCUGUAUGGCGUGCUCGUUUGGGUUGGGCGUCGGCUAAGAGUGCUCGGAGCUUGGAUUAACUCCAGUCGCCAAUCAGGCGAUUGAUUUUGGAAACGUUUCAACUUCAACUCGUAACAGGUAGAUGCGAUAAAUACGAUAAGAUCGGUGUUUGGAUCGAUGGAACAGGUAAUACCCAAGCUUAGAUAGUUUAGAGCUACAAGGGACUCGGAGAUGGCCACACUACUGUUUCUGUUUCUUUUAAUUGCAAUAAGUAGCCGAUUUAUUUCUUUAUAAGUUUUAUCUUAUUAAUAUUAUUGUUUGGCUUUGAGUUGUAAUAAGGCCAUUUUAAUUAUUUUUCUGGGAUUA